AAACCAACCGGGAUUGCCUUAGUAACGGCGAGUGAAGCGGCAAAAGCUCAAAUUUGAAAUCUGGUACCUUCGGUGCCCGAGUUGUAAUUUGUAGAAGGUAACUUUGGGGCUGGUCCUUGUCUAUGUUCCUUGGAACAGGACGUCAUAGAGGGUGAGAAUCCCGUGUGGCGAGGAUCCCAGUCCUAUGUAAAGUGCUUUCGAAGAGUCGAGUUGUUUGGGAAUGCAGCUCUAAGUGGGUGGUAAAUUCCAUCUAAAGCUAAAUAUUGGCGAGAGACCGAUAGCGAACAAGUACAGUGAUGGAAAGAUGAAAAGAACUUUGAAAAGAGAGUGAAAAAGUACGUGAAAUUGUUGAAAGGGAAGGGCAUUUGAUCAGACAUGGUGUUUUGCGCCCUCUGCUCCUUGUGGGUGGGGGAAUCUCGCAGCUCACUGGGCCAGCAUCAGUUUUGGCGGUAGGAUAAAUCUGCAGGAAUGUAGCUUGCUUCGGCAAGUGUUAUAGCCUGUUGAAAUACUGCCAGCCGGGACUGAGGACUGCGACUUUUAGUCAAGGAUGCUGGCAUAAUGGUUAUAUGCCGC
rnacentral:rRNA from 1 species